UACGUAGGGGGCUAGCGUUGUUCGGAAUUACUGGGCGUAAAGCGCGCGUAGGCGGCCCUGCAAGUUAGCGGUGAAAGCCCGGAGCUUAACUCCGGAAUUGCCUUUAAAACUGCAUCGCUAGAAUUGUGGAGAGGUGAGUGGAAUUCCGAGUGUAGAGGUGAAAUUCGUAGAUAUUCGGAAGAACACCAGUGGCGAAGGCGACUCGCUGGACACAUAUUGACGCUGAGGUGCGAAAGCGUGGGGAGCAAACAGG
rnacentral:rRNA from 1 species